GCCUGGAUGGCUCUGUAGGUAGAGCAUAAGACUCUUGAUCUUGGGUUUGUAAAUUUGAGCUUCACACUGGGUG
rnacentral:tRNA from 1 species